AACGAACGCUGGCGGCAUGCCUAACACAUGCAAGUCGAACGAGACCUUCGGGUCUAGUGGCGCACGGGUGCGUAACGCGUGGGAACCUGCCCUUAGGUUCGGAAUAACUCCCCGAAAGGGGUGCUAAUACCGGAUAAUGUCUUCGGACCAAAGAUUUAUCGCCUUUGGAUGGGCCCGCGUUGGAUUAGCUAGUUGGUAGGGUAAAAGCCUACCAAGGCGACGAUCCAUAGCUGGUCUGAGAGGAUGAUCAGCCACACUGGGACUGAGACACGGCCCAGAAUCCUACGGGAGGCAGCAGUGGGGAAUAUUGGACAAGGGGCGAAAGCAUGAUCCAGCAAUGCCGCGUGAGUGAUGAAGGCCUUAGGGUUGUAAAGCUCUUUUACCCGGGAUGAUAAUGACAGUACCGGGAGAAUAAGCUCCGGCUAACUCCGUG
rnacentral:rRNA from 1 species